AGUAGAUGUGGUUUGAGGUAUUUGUGUCAGAUAAGAGUUCUCAAGGGACAUACCUUCUCCAUAGUACGGGGAGGAUCGUAGGUGAGGACCUCAAGGGAUUUUCCUGAGGUCUUAUUCCCGAGGACAUCCCGUAUUUUGUGAUAGUUAGUUGAACCAUCAAGGUCGGGAAGAGGAUGUCCCGAGGACUUAGUGAAUCCCGAGCUUUAAUGACCGGGUAACGUAAAAGUAGGUUACCUAUAGUCAUCGGGAUUAUAUCGUGCUCGGGUUAUGCAGCGAAUGACAGUAUCACUGGCCCCCGUACACCUAUGCUCAAAGCUUUCGCUCGAGGAUAUGGUGCAAAUAGGUUCGAAGGUGACUAGUGUGCAAAUGCUCAGGUGGUUUUGAAGAUAGGUGUUUAAAAGCUGACGUCCUGAUGACAUUAGCCCUAAAGAAGUAAGGCAGUGGAAAGCUUGAGCCCUUGGAUGGCGGACACGUGGUGUGAUCGGACGGUUGUGCAAGCGACUUUUGGGCUCUCACUCAGGCCUUCUAUAAAUACCCCUUUCGCUAUUUAUUUUUUACUUUUUCACUCUGAGUAAAUUUUUCUCGCAAUCGUCGGUAUCAGGUUAGAGCUCGAGAACUUAAUGCUCAGCCUCGAGCUCAGGAUAAUCCGACGUUAUUUAGAUAUCCCGAUCAACCCUAUAGGUUUAAGGAACACCUAGCGAUAUCGAUGGCUAGGGAAUAUGACCUUAUGCCGAGUUGCGAUAUUAGGCAUCCCGAGGAUGGGGAUAGGAUGGCUUUAGCUCGGGACCAAGAGUUUGUGAUUUUUAGUGAUUCUUUAAAGGGGGGUUUAGGUGGCCCGUGCACCCAUUCUUUGUCACCCUGUUGACUAGUAUAAUAUAAGCCCCGGGCAGCUAGUGCCGAACGGGUGGAGGAUGCUGACCUAUUUUUUUGUAGCUUGUAGGUACGUAGGAAUUACCCCAUACCUAGACUUAUGCAGAAUGGUGUUCGACCUGAAACAACUUCCCCAGUUCACAUGUUUUGCCUACCUUUCAUCUCGAGGAGGGUUUAGGAUCCCGAGGAUGCCUAGUUCGUUAAAAGGGUGGAAGGAAAAAUGGUUUUACGUCGUGACUCAAGAUUCUGACCUUCCUUUCAGUCCCCAGUGGGUGUUACUAGAUACUGCGAGGUUUUGUGAGGGUCAGGUCUAUUUUGAGUACUUAGAGAGGGAUAGGCUGAUGUUAGAGAAUCUCGAGCCUUUGGUGUAUGAUAUAGAUGAUGUCCUCGGAGAUGACAUCCUCGAUCUCGCGAAUGUGGAAGGCGUCGAGGGUAGGAUAUGCACUUUCAAUGCUUUCUUUAUUCUACCUAUAUUUUUUAAUGCUCGUGCUAAUGACAUGUUAUUAUGUAGAAAUGAAGUUUGAUCCUACUGCCCUACGUCAGGCGGUUAGCAAGAAAUCCAAGGUCCCCCAAGCUUGGGCUCCCGACCAGAAGAGGGACAAAAACGACCUCGAGAUUCAAGGCUCGAGAAACAGAGGAGUGGCCCUGGCGAAUCAUCACAGCAAAGGGGGAAAUCCUUGGCCACAGAGUGGGAGAGGGUUGAGCACCCAACCUCUCAGGGUACACCUCGGAGCGUUCCUCAUCCUCGAGAGCCCAUCGAAGUGGUCGACCUCGAGGACGAGGCUUUGCCGCCAUGCUUUGUCCCCUCAGAGGACCAAACUCGGUGUCAAUUUUUAUCGAGAAUUGUGGACCAGUACCGAGGAAGUAUUGGCAUUAAUGAAGGCAUGAGGGCCCUCGAGGCCAUGACGCUAAAGGUACGUCGGUCAUG
rnacentral:lncRNA from 1 species